rnacentral:rRNA from 1 species
UACGGGGGGGGGCAAGCGUUGUUCGGAAUUACUGGGCGUAAAGGGCUCGUAGGCGGCCAACUAAGUCCGACGUGAAAUCCCCAGGCUUAACCUGGGAACUGCGUCGGAUACUGGAUGGCUUGAAUUCGGGAGAGGGAUGCGGAAUUCCAGGUGUAGCGGUGAAAUGCGUAGAUAUCUGGAGGAAUACCGGUGGCGAAGGCGGCAUCCUGGACCGACAUUGACGCUGAUGAGCGAAAGCUAGGGGAGCAAACAGG